rnacentral:rRNA from 1 species
UACGGAGGGGGCUAGCGUUGUUCGGAAUUACUGGGCGUAAAGCGCACGUAGGCGGCUUGGUAAGUUAGAGGUGAAAGCCUGGAGCUCAACUCCGGAAUUGCCUUUAAGACUGCAUCGCUAGAAUUGUGGAGAGGUAAGUGGAAUUCCGAGUGUAGAGGUGAAAUUCGUAGAUAUUCGGAAGAACACCAGUGGCGAAGGCGACUCGCUGGACAGGUAUUGACGCUGAGGUGCGAAAGCGUGGGGAGCAAACAGG